rnacentral:tRNA from 1 species
GCCCUCGGUGGCUCAGAUGGAUAGAGCGUCUGCCAUGUAAGCAGGAGAUCCUGGGUUCGAGUCCCGGUCGGGGCA